rnacentral:rRNA from 1 species
UACGGAGGGUGCAAGCGUUAUCCGGAUUCACUGGGUUUAAAGGGAGCGUAGGUGGGUUGGUAAGUCAGUGGUGAAAUCCCCGAGCUUAACUUGGGAACUGCCAUUGAUACUAUCUGUCUUGAAUCCCGUGGAGAUGAGCGGAAUAUGUCAUGUAGCGGUGAAAUGCUUAGAUAUGACAUAGAACACCAAUUGCGAAGGCAGCUCGUUACACGAAGAUUGACUCUGAGGCACGAAAGCGUGGGGAUCAAACAGG